rnacentral:rRNA from 1 species
UGGGGAAUUUUGGACAAUGGGCGAAAGCCUGAUCCAGCAAUGCCGCGUGUGUGAAGAAGGCCUUCGGGUUGUAAAGCACUUUUGUCCGGAAAGAAAUCCUUGGCUCUAAUACAGUCGGGGGAUGACGGUACCGGAAGAAUAAGCACCGGCUAACUACGUGCCAGCAGCCGCGGUAAUACGUAGGGUGCAAGCGUUAAUCGGAAUUACUGGGCGUAAAGCGUGCGCAGGCGGUUUGCUAAGACCGAUGUGAAAUCCCCGGGCUCAACCUGGGAACUGCAUUGGGUGACUGGCAGGCUAGAGUAUGGCAGAGGGGGGUAGAAUUCCACGUGUAGCAGUGAAAUGCGUAGAGAUGUGGAGGAAUACCGAUGGCGAAGGCAGCCCCCUGGGCCAAUACUGACGCUCAUGCACGAAAGCGUGGGGAGCAAACAGGAUUAGAUACCCUGGUAGUCCACGCCCUAAAACGAUGUCAACUAGUUGUUGGGGAUUCAUUUCCUUAGUAACGUAGCUAACGCGUGAAGUUGACCGCCUGGGGAGUACGGUCGCAAGAUUAAAACUUAAAUGAAUUGACGGGGUCAUA